CAGCAGCCACGGUAAUGCGAAGGGUGCAAGCGUUAAUCGGAAUUACUGGGCGUAAAGCGUGCGUAGGCGGUGAGUUAAGUCUGCUGUGAAAUCCCCGGGCUCAACCUGGGAAUGGCAGUGGAUACUGGCUCGCUAGAGUGUGUCAGAGGAUGGUGGAAUUCCCGGUGUAGCGGUGAAAUGCGUAGAGAUCUGGAGGAAUACCGGUGGCGAAGGCGGCCAUCUGGGACAACACUGACGCUGAGGCACGAAAGCGUGGGGAGCAAACAGGAUUAGAUACCCCAGUAGUCCCUGUCUCUUAUAC
rnacentral:rRNA from 1 species